UUGUCUUCUUUCAAACUCUAUUCAGAGGCCAGGAGAGAUGGGGGAAAGGAAUCUGUUGCCAAGGCUAGUGACCUGAAUUUGCCAUGUGACAGGAUACCGGCAGUCUAGUCCAAUAGCAAGCCACCAUGCUCCACCGAACAGGCAUGAGUCAGCGGAAGAGACAAGAAUCAGCUGGAAUACCAUGAGAAGUCCUUUUGUGCGUUUCUCUCUAGGAAGUGAAGACCAGCAAAGACCACCGAAGGCUGGAAACAUCUCUCUGACAGCUUCCAGAAAAACAUCACGUGACAAACUGAGUUUCCAAAGAAACCAGAAAUUUCCACUUUGUGAAAACCUGUUUAACAAAACAAAACAAGGCCUGUGGCUACAGGAGUUGGUAGAGUUUAUCUUGCCUAGAGCACAAAGUCCUGGGCUUAAUUCCUAGCACUGCAUAAAAACCAAGCUAUGGGACACAUUUGAGGCUAUGGUCUAUGUUUCAAAAACAAAGAAAUCCCUCACACCUGAUACCUGUUGGUGAAUCAUUUCCCCCUCCUCAGGGGGUGCCAGACACUGUUAGUCAUCCCUACAGUGCUACCUCAGCACCUGAGCUGGGGACCGAACCCAGGGCCUUCUGCUUCCUAGGCAAGCGCUCUACCACUGAGCUAAAUCCCCAACCCCUUAAACAGACUUUUCAAGAGCUGCC
ensembl:lncRNA